rnacentral:rRNA from 1 species
AGGAUAAACGCUGGCGGCGUGCCUAACACAUGCAAGUCGAACGUCCUACGCAAGUAGGGAGUAGCGGACGGGUGAGUAGCACGUGGGCAAUCUACCUUUCGGUGAGGAAUACCGGCGAGAAAUCGCCGACAAUACCGCAUACGCUUCGCAAGAAGCAAAGUCGCAAGACGCCGGAGGAGGAGCCUGCGCCCGAUUAGCUAGUUGGUGAGGUAAGAGCUCACCAAGGCGACGAUCGGUAGCUGGUCUGAGAGGAUGAUCAGCCACACUGGGAUUGAGAACGGCCCGGACUCCUACGGGGGGCAGCAGUGAGGAAUUUUCGUCAAUGGGGGCAACCCUGAACGAGCAACGCCGCGUGCAGGAGAAGGUUUUCGGAUCGUAAACUGCUUUUCUCGGGGAAGAGAACGGACGGUACCCGAGGAAUCACGCCCCGGCUAACUACGUGCCAGCAGCCGC